GUCAAAUCCCCACAAGAGUUGGAGAUCAUGAAUGCAAUGAAAAAUGCUUCUUUACCUGGGCAAAGGAUCCAUCAGCACUUCUUUACGUAGGAACCCAUAAAUGCUGAAAAUUAAAACCUACCUAAUAAGGAGCUUGUCAAGGAAAGAGUGGGCAGAAGAUCCUAAAGCUGUGAUAUUAGUGUCUGCUGAUGGGGGAUGAGAAAAUGAAGAGAAAACACCUCUGAGAGAGUGAGUCUCUCUGGAAAUAGAUCUGGAUUUGCACAUAUUCUGUUUACAGGUAUCUGGUUCAGAAGUAGGUCUGUGGCUUAAACAGAGGGACCCCAUUUCUGUUCGUUUACACAGAAGGACUUAUUCUACAAAGCAUCGCUGUGCAAACGUUUGCAUUUCUUGAAACAACAAGAGGCCCUCUCUCCCUUCACCCUGCCUCCUGUAAGAGGAGAAGGCACCAACCUGGAGUUAGGCUCCUUUAAUUUUACCAAGUAAAACUUUAAGAAAUGUACCAUCAUAAUUAUUUCAUAAACAGAACAUUUUAACUUGAUGUUUGCAUAAGUAUUUAUCGAGAGCUGGUGUGCUCCCAAUGCCAUGCCAAGUAGUGGCUGUUGAAUGGCCAACAAGACCCCUCCUCCAAUGGGCCUUAGAGUUGGGUGGGGGAUUAACCUGAAACAAGCCAAUAAAUAAGAGCACGUGCUAAGAAGAGAUCGGAGGAAGAACAAGGGGCUAAGAUUGAGGAGAGCAGAGGAGGUUGCUUUUCAGUGGCAUGUUGAGGGGAGGCCUCUCCAUGGAGGGACAGUUAAACUGAGAUGCAGAGGGAGAGAAGUACCCGGAUGUGGACAGAAAUGAAGUUCUCUUUAGUGUUUCAGGUAGAGGAAGGUCCACGUGCAAAGGCCCUGAGGUGGGAAAGGACUUGAUGUGUUCAAGAGAGAAAAAUCCACAGAGACAGACACAUCCCAGAAUGAAGGAUGGCUCUUUCAAUAUAUUCAGUUUUAUGAAAACCUCAAAACCACGUCUUUCUGUCUUUCUUCGUUCCUUCCUUCCUCCUGCC
rnacentral:lncRNA from 1 species